CCCAGCUAAAAGCUGUCCUUCCCCUCAAAUCCGUGCAAGGAAAAACCCAAGCAGCCGCUUCACUACUUGAUCUUAUCCGAGCGGCUGCCCUGGUGCUGGGGUUUCAGGUUUCACCCGGCCGGCUGGGUUAGGGCAAGGCGGGCGCUGCCCUCGCCCUAUGGCGGGUCCGGUGGCGCCCCUUCCCGCCUGCCGGCGUGGCCCCAAGUCCGGUGCAUGCCUGCGAUGACGACUGCCCGCGGCUUAAGCUCUUAUCCCUACGCGGGCUUCUCCAACCCAUCAUUUCCCCCCCUAGCUCGCUUUUAUGUUUUGUUUUGGUUGCUUUCCUUUUUUCCCUUUAUCGUUUGUUGAAUACCUUUCUCGGUAUAUUGGCUAAGCUCAAGUGUGGUAUCUGUUCCUUUUUCAUUUGUUGAAGCCAUUGAUCUUUCUUUUCUCGUUUUUAGACUUUUGAUUGCCUUGGAUUUGCAGGUGGUUUCGUUCUUAUGUUUAUAUGUUAGAAUUUGUUCCGGUUACUGUAACCUAAUUUUUUUUUGCUAUUGUUGUUAUUUGAGGGACGAAUGAGUUUGUUAAUCUAGUGAGCUAAGUUCUUAGCUAUUGUUGGCAUUAAGUGAGGGAUUAGUUUGUUCAUCUACUUAUAGUUUGUUAACCUUGGGUUGGAGUUUUUCCUCUGGAAUAAUGGGUUUAAAGACGUGUUCAGGGUUUAGGACCUGAAGUUUUUGAUAGUGUGGGGAUUUGAGGUUCCGAGCUAAUCUGUUUGUCGUGAUAUAUAAGUUGGUUCAGAAUUCUAAUUCCAGCAGUGCGGAGUUCCGUAAAUGGGAUAAGAAUGUCUAGCUACACGCUCUGCCAAAUAUGGCUCAUAUUGCCUACUAAAUGGGUCGGACUUCCGGUAGAGGUUGUGUUUUUGGAUUUUUGAGCGCCACCAGCAGGAUCUCCCUCGAGGCUGCGUGAAAUUGAAUUAGGUGAAGAGUCAGUGGGAGAAGUCUAUCUCUGUUGUUGAAUGUGUUUAGGUUUUUACCCGUCUUGUCCUAUCAAAAGAAUUUGGUCUUAAUCAAACAUAUAAACGUGAUCGAAUUUUAUCUGCCUUUGAGAAAUAACUGGGUUCGGCAUUAAUACUUCGUGAAUUUUGUGAUUUCGAAAUAAACUUUUGCUUAACAUUAUGAUUCGGAAGUGGAUUCUUAUGAAGUGGAUCAUGUGGUGCAAGUUCGAGCAAACAAUUGAAGUCAUUGAGAUUCCAAGGAUGCUUGUUCUGAACCUUUUAUUCUCUUCUUUAUGACCUCAACAACCUCGAUCUGUUCAAUUAUAUAUCAACUAUUUUGACGUAAGCGUGAAGUUACACCUUUUUUGUGUAUGUUUUAUUGUUGACGUGUUUUUUUACCCUAUGUCACAUAGACAUACUCAGAACGGAGACUUGACAUUGUGUUUGUGGUUUUCCUUGAGACGAACGCAUAUGUGACCCGAAGAGAUCUUCCUGCUUUCAUUUGUACUUCUGUUAAUCUUUCUGUUGAAAACCUUUUUGAAAUAUGUCUUUACAUUAUAGUUGUAGUUUUGUUCAGACCCAUGUGUCUGUCACACGCAGAGAUCUUCCUGCUUUUGUUUGACUUCUGUUAGUAUUUUUGUUUAAACCAUUGUGAGAGAUAUGGUAUUUGCUGUUCUAUCAUUGUAUGUGAGUGAGAGAGAAAGAGGGAGAGAGAGAGAGAGAGAGAGAGAGAGAGAGAGAUAUUCUACAAGCAAUUGCUGACGAAGGAGGUGGAUAGAGUCUGCAAUUUGUUCUUCAAAACUUGUUUUGGUAUAACCGCUUAUUUAUUGCUUGUCACUGGAGGGCACAUCCAACUUCUUACUUCGUGGCAAGGAAGGCAACACAAGUCAGCUGACAUGAAUGGAGCCCGUGGGCGUGCAUUUGGCUAUCAUUGGAGGCGCCAAUACUCCAAAAGGUGUUUUGAUCGGUCCUUUCAUUGUCAAGAUUAUUCUGUGGAGUAAAUUGUUGUUCGGGAGAAGGAAAUUUUCCUUGGCCUAAUCAACUGAAAGGAGAAAACAUGGAAUCCACUCUGAAUGAGAUGAGAUUUGGAGACAUGGGUGUGAUUUGUUCAUUCAAGUCUUCAUGUUCUUCUUGUACCAUUCCUUUGCCAAGUCAAGAGGAACUAUCUUGAGCAAUAAUUGAGGGAUCUGCAUGGAAACCUGUGGCUGUGUCGCUCUGGCGCUGAAUUAGGAAGAGGUGGUUCAGGUGUCGAACAAAAAGUCUUGUCCUUCUUCAAACAGAAUGAUGCCAUUGUUGGUUCAUCUGUUUCUUCACGAGAACGAGGCGAUAUCGAAAUUCAAAUGCUAUAUGCAUUUAUCAAUAAAUCUUCGCAUCUUAUGCGUAAACUGAACGAGACCUUUCUCCAGGCGUCAAUAGGCCCAGGCAAAUUUGAGUAGCUGCCUUUGAAUCAUCUAGUCACCUCUCACAAGCACCUUGGGAAGCUGAAUGAAAAAACUUUUGGUUGAGUGCCGUCAAUCAAAUUCAUCGUCAUCAUCCGGGAAUAUUCUAUUGUUCAUAAUGUGAUAAAAGUCAGCUCGAGAAUUUGGUUUAUUGAUUCUUAUGUUUCAUCAAUGGGCUGGCUUUGGCUUUUGCUGCGAGAAGAUGGGUUCCUUUGACUAUAACAGGAGCGAUUUGUUGUUUUAUU